rnacentral:lncRNA from 1 species
GGUUAUGGAAGCUCAUAAUUGUGCGUGUGCUCCGUUGGAUUUAGCCUUUUCUCUUAUUUAAUGGAGCAAUAAUAAGGAAAGGAAUCCAGUAUUACUGUUUGAGCAGAGAACCAUCCGCUCUAUGAGAGGGAGAAAAAUGAGAGAGGUAUUUGAGUCAGGUCUUGUCUACUGGGUGGAUCUCAUCUGCACUUCAGAUCGACUUCAUGGAAGAAGCUUAAUUAAGCAGACACGUACAAGACUGCUCACCGCUUGUCAGAUCAUAUCAAAUCAGGCCGGAUUAAUUUCCUAAUAUUAAUUGUUUCCCUUAAAUAUAAGCUGGUACGUUGAGGCUUUGCUAGUGUUUUUUUUUUGGAAAAAAGGAAAAUUCCCAACUAUUAUAGUGCAGAAGUUUUGGGUAACAUCUGAUUGCAUUCACAAGAAAUACUUCACACAUUGCAGAUUCAUAUUUUUGUGUUGCAUAUAUAAAAUACUUGUAUUUAUUGACGAUAAUUAUUGAAAUGACACAGGAAGUCGGACAGAUUUUCCUGACCUAUUUGUUUGAAGAGAUUGGCUAAUUUGAUUCCCUGUAGUUUUCAGUUGGGUGGAUAACUUGAUACAUGAGUAUCAGAGUAUGUGCUAUGUACUGGCCUGUGUACUCGUCGAUGAGUUGUGUUUCAUGAAAAAAAUAUAUGAAUUCGAAAUUAUAUUUUAUAAGAACGUACUUUAUGAAUCAUUAUUUUAGUUGUGCACUUAUCUUGUCUGUGAUGCCAUAAGAAUUUGGACAAUCAUCUAAUAGAUGUAUU